rnacentral:lncRNA from 1 species
UUCGUUGAGGCACGGAGAGGGGAAGGUGACUCUGACUGGGUUCGACGUUCAGACGAUCGGAAAGGACUUGGCGUACACGGUGCGGGCAGAGACGCGGUUCAACAAUUUCAAGAGGAACAAGACGACGGCGGGGGUGACUGCGACGUACCUGAACGACACGAUCGCGGCGGGAGUGAAGCUGGAGGACAGGGUAUUGAUAGGGAAGAGGGUGAAGUUGGUGGUGAACGGAGGGGUGCUGACAGGAAAGGGCGACAAAGCAUACGGUGGAAGCCUGGAGGCGACGUUGAGAGGGAAGGAGUAUCCUUUGAGUCGGACGCUGUCGACGCUGGGGUUGUCAGUGAUGGACUGGCACGGCGACCUGGCGAUCGGGGGGAACCUGCAGUCGCAGUUCAUGGUGGGGAAGACGAUGAUGGUGGGAAGGGCGAACUUGAACAAUAGGGGGUCGGGUCAAGUGAGCAUACGGGCGAGCAGCUCGGAGCAGCUGCAGAUGGUGUUGAUUGGGAUUGUUCCGAUAUUGAGGUCUCUAAUCAACUGCCGUUUCGGCUUCGGUGGUCAGUCCCAACAAUAAAUUUCGUAGAUAGCUACAGGAUAGUUUUGGCCCCCAGUUGGCCUCCUCCUUACAGCUAGCUCUGUACAUGUGUGCUUUGGAUGCUCAGCAAAAUCUUGUAGAAGAUUCAUGUUUUGGUGCGGAGUAGAAUUGCUUGAUGUACAGGCGCUAUGAUGACGACAGUUAUGCCAAGUCAGUUGCUUGUAUCGGCCAAGAAUUCCGUUCUCUUGUCCGUCAAUUGGAGAGUUUUAGUGCGAGUUUUGUUAGGGCUGUAGUUGCAGUUUGGAGACCUUAUGAUUUUGCCCCUCGGUCGCCAACUUUUAGUGUGGAUUUUAGUUAUCUGCACGUAUGUGCUCUGUAUUGUAGUAGACUGGAGUUGAGUAGGGCAUGGGGUCGCAGAAAAGGAGGGAAUUAUCUGUGGGUAUGAGAUCUUGUAGCGAGUCUGGGCUGUUACUGAUAUCUUAUCACUGACACAGACCGUCAGCUGAAUAGGCAUUUCUGUUUGGACUGAAGAUGAGCUUCGUAAUGUUGUAGUCAAUGCAACCUAUUUGAAGAUGUCCUGCAUUUCGAGGUUACUCCUCUCAUUGCACACAUCAUUGAGUUUAUUUCCUUGAAUUUCUUUGAGCUGUUUUUUCAGCAAAGCUCCUACUCGUGUCUCAUCAGUCGGAAUCCUAGCACGAUCUGAAUUCUCAAUGAACUCUUGAAUUAUGUUUGUGUAAAUUGUAAUCAGGUCUUUGUGUCGUGGUCCCUUAGUUGACCUCUAUAUCAGAAGGUUGGCCAACCACUUAGAAGUCGUUGCAAAAGCUGAACCCGCUGGCCAUCUCAGUCACCGUCUGCUUGAGGCCGUUAUCAAUUCGGAACACAAGCGGAGUGUGGGAUCAAUCGUUGAGCGAGUCUGCGCGUGGAUGGAUAGAAUGGAGGCUGAGGAGAACCCUCCAGCUGUCUCUUGCAUGAUCAUGUCUCUUAAGAAUCCUUUUUGGAUCGUGGAACAUAACAUUUCUUCAAAACCGCAGAACUUCGUUACAAGAAGCCAAUCGGUGGAAUAUACACAGCGAGAAACUGUUCGUGUGCAUCACGGUAAACGACCAAACCGCGAUUUCCAGAGCUCAGAGCCUCUUGGCUCAUCCACCCGUCACUUUGCCACUCUUUCCUUAACUGGCCAGUCUUCUGAACUUGCUUGUCCGCCUGGUUGCUUUGAUUGCUCUGCUUGCUCCUUCAUUCCGAAACAAGUUUGCGAGUCUCUUUGAACGGACACUGUCCAUAAAACAUUGCCCGACACUGAGUUAUUGUCUGCGUGUGUAUCCACCACUGGAAGAGCUAGAAAAUGGAUUGGUAACCACGUUCAGUUCUACUGUUUCAUCUUUUUGGUGUAUUUUGACAUGUUUGCUCUAUUGAGAAGCUUCUCUGAAGAAUGUUACAUAGUGGAGGAGGUAUUUGAAUUCUGGGUUUGGAUUCUGAUGUUUUUAUCUGGAGAAUGAGUCAAGUCCUGAGGGUUUCGUGUUCGCUGGGCGGUAUAGAAUUCGAGUGAGCGGUUUUUUUUCGGUAGUUUUUGGACUGUGAAUGGCAUUGUUGUGUUUACAGAUUAAUUUCGGUAGUGUUUUUCGCGGUUUGAGUGGUUUGGGAUCGUCGAGUUAGCUUCUAGGGCGGGGUUUUGGAGGGGCAACGGGGUCUUAUCCUGUGCGGGGAAGGUUGUCGUCGUGCCUUGCUUUUAGCACAGUUUCCCGUUCCAGCGGUGAUUGGAUUAGCAUGUUUCACAGAGAAUUGUAUUUUAUUCCGUUCUGUUCCGAGUGAUGAAGCGCUUGGUUGGGUGGAGGUUAUUUGUGCUUUGUCUCGCAGGAAGAGUAGGUUUAAUCGUUUCAAUGCUGUCAUCAGGACUAUUUUUAGAGUUCUGAUGAAGGAAUUUUGUAACGCAGAGCAUGAGCAGGUGAGAAGAAUCACUUUCUGGGAGGACGUUGGUGCUGUUGCCUUGAGACGCUGGUGAAUUGAAACACUUCAGUAUAAUUAGGGGAACGUUUCGAGCAGGCAUGGCGAACAUCCCUUCGCUUACCUCCAGGAAAAAUACGAACAUCUUCAAGAGCAAGGAGGCGGUGAGAAUUCUAAACUCGAGAUCAACAUUCUGGUUGCCUGUGGACAGACGUAGUUAUCUGUGACGGUGGAAGAGGGGAUUAUGAAUGUCAUCGUUUCUGGGUUUUUGUCAAGGUCAAAUCGUCAGAUAUGAAGUUAUAAUCGUUCCUGAGACUUCAAUCGCCGAGUCUGUUGACAUUUCUAGGUUUAUGUGAGGGUUACAAUCGCCAGGGAUGGUACGGUUUUAAAACAAAAUUUGGUUUUAGCUACAGAAUUUAUUGUUGCUCAGUAUUGGCAUAGGUUUUUAAUUUUCCAGUUUUUCCACGAAUUUUUUACGAUUUUCUUGAUUUUUGCCGAUGUGCGUUCAUGACAGGAAAUUGAUUGCUGUGAAUGAGACAUUGAGGAAGAGUAGUUCAGAAAACAUUGGCAGUUAUGGACGCCCUUCGCAAGCUGGGUAGUUUGGGCAGGAGACGGGAUGAGGUAGAUACGGCGAGCAGCCCUCUGAAGAACGAAGCUUCAGCAGCAGAAAUUCCCAGGGAUCCUGUGCAAAUUAGCGGCAAAGAUGAGGCAUCACCUUCGGGCCUUACACCCAUCAGGGUGCGGGUACCAGAGGAUGUGAGAUCGGAAAGUGAAGUCAAACGAGACGGCGAUGAAGAAAGCGUUGGCAGUGGAGAGAGUUUCGACAGUGCCUUGGAGAGGAUGGAAGCUUCUUCUAUCACAAGUUUUGAGCCUCCUAGUCCGAUGGAGUCUAUCGAUGGGCGGUUCCAGUUUGAAGAUGGGGUAAGGGAGGAUUUAGCAGAAAGUGGACUAGACGGAAAUUUUUCUUAUGACGACGACGACGACGAUGAAGAAGAAGAAGAAGACGGGAGUGAGGAAGGGGAGUCCACUAGUAGCAGUAUCAUCAACUCGGAGUAUUCGUCUAGCGCCAGCAAUACGGAGGAUGAAAUGGAUAUCUCGGGGUAUGGAGCUUCCUCAGCGCGAACCAUGCUUGUGUCCAAUGAUGCAAGUAAAUCUGAUGAGGAAGCAAUUGAUGGUAAACUUUAUAAAUCUUUUACAUGUGUUUUGAUGUUAAAUUUCUUUGUUGUAUGAAUCGUGUCUGUAUGAAUCUAAAACGGGGUCGAAUAUAAAGGGUCGCUUGCUUGGCAUUUGUAACCCUGGCAAUAACUUGGACCAAUUAGAGUCACAAACUGAAAGGCUUCGGUGUGAUCGGCUUGUGGGAGUUCGACUUGCUCUAGAUGGUUAGCAGAAGAAGAGGCCGGUGUUGAAGAGAGGUUUGAGGAGGCAUAUGACGGAGGAAUGAACUCAGCCUGAGAAGAGCUAGAAACUGUCCCCAUUGGAAGAAGAACUACUAGAGAGUCCAGAGAGGAGUCAAAGGCUAGGGUUUCGUGGAGGGAUUUAACGAGGGAUGACGAAGUAUUUUUUGUUGAAACCCCUUGACAGAACCGAAGUACAAGUUAAGGAACGUCGUAACUGGAGAGGAGAAUAUGAGUGGUGGUCUUUCAGUUGAGAACGAAGCAAGAGGGGUUGCUCUUUCGUCUUGGAAGUCGGAAUUGGAAGACUUCUACGAAGCUUCACUGGAGGAUAACGAUGUUCAAGAGGAAUUGGCAGAGAAGAUAAUUAAGGUAGCCAGUGAACAGAAUGACGAAGAAGAUGAAGAAGUACAUUUUCCUGUCAUCGCGAACGAAUUGCCCGGGAGGAUUACACGGAAUCGGACAAUGAUCGAUAGCCCAGCUCAUCUUUACAGUGCCGUGAAAGCAGUUGAUUCAACACUUCCUGCGUUGAAGUCAGAGAGUACGAAAUCAAUUACACAGGGUUUUGUUGAGGCUGAGGAAGCUGAAUCGGACGUUUUCACAGAGGGUGAAGAUGGAUAUGAUGACGAAGAUGAAGAUGGCGAUAUACAAAUGGAUGUUUCGCAGGCUACUGAAAAAUCUGGUAGGUUCUGGUCGCGACCUAUACAGCUGUCUUCAUGUAAUGCAGAUUUUUAUGUUUUUCAAGUGUUUUGACAUAUUCCAAGAUGUAGUCUGGAGAAAAACAAUCCCAUUUUCAAUUGCAGAAGCCUUGAAUGAAAGUCUAGAAGAAAAGUAAUGCAACUGUUUAUCAAUUCUUUGCCAUUUCAUUAGACAUAUAAUGUGGCUGAGGUAUGCCUCUUCGCUGUAGGAACUCCGGAUGAGAGCGAAAGCAAUCCAUCAAUGGGUGCAGGUGGACCUCGUUUGCCGUCUUUACCCCAACGAUCAUCUGCUAGAAGAUCUGCUGCCACAACAGCAACGGGUGUGCCACGUCCUAAUACUGCCUCGUCAACCCAAUCAGCAGCCACCAGUGACGCGAGCAUAAGCAGUGAAUCUAGCGAAGCGAAUGAAAUCCGUGAGAAACUCCAGAAUAUCAGAAUAAAGUUCUUGAGACUGGCUCGCCGCUUGAAUCAAUCUCCGCAGAACGUGGUUGUAGCACAGGUGUUGUAUCGUCUAGGCUUGGCAGAAUCCUUGCGAGGCGGUAGUUCUCUCAACCGCACUAGAGCAUUCAGUUUCGACCACGCCAACGCUCUCGCAGAGGAGCAGGAAGCUGCUAAGUAUGAGGACCUUGACUUCGCAUGCACGAUUUUGGUUCUUGGAAAGACUGGGGUUGGAAAGAGUGCGACUAUCAACUCUAUUUUUGAUGAGUGCAAGACUGUGACUAGUGCCUACUAUCCGUCUACCACUAAAGUCCAUGAAGUUAGUGGAACUGUGCUCGGCGUCAAGGUAUGAACUUAGUUUGUUACUGUUCCGUUUGUCGAUUCAUUUCAGAUGGCAAAUUAGUUGUUUAGUUGUUAUGAUCCAACCUGGAGGAAAAUUUACGCUGAAUUACUUUAUUGGGCUCAGGUGAGGUUUAUAGACACACCUGGGCUUCUCCCUUCUACGGCUGACCAACGGCACAAUAAGAACAUUAUGAGACAAGUGAAAAAGUACAUCAAAAAAGUUUCUCCAGACAUAGUUUUGUACUUCGAUCGUAUGGACAUGCAAACUCGAGACUCUGGAGACGUGCCUUUGCUGCGGACCAUCACCGACGUGUUUGGAGCCGCUGUGUGGUUCAAUGCUACAGUGGUGUUGACCCACGCGUCUAAGGCCCCUCCAGAUGGAUCAAAUGGGACUCCCAUGAGUUAUGACUAUUUUGUAGCACAACGGUCACAUUUUGUGCAACAGACAAUUCGUCAAGCAGCUGGAGACGCAAGGCUUCAGAAUCCGGUGUCGUUGGUGGAGAACCACCCUGCUUGCAGAAUCAACCGAAGUGGGCAGAGAGUCUUACCCAAUGGACAGCCAUGGAAGCAACAAUUGUUGUUGCUAUGUUUUGCCUCAAAGAUAUUGGCAGAAGCGAACACGUUGUUGAAGCUUCAGGAAGCAUCAACUCCUGGAAAGCCAUUUGGACAGCGGUCUCGGGUGCCACCUUUGCCAUAUUUGCUUUCGUCUUUGCUUCAAUCUCGAGCUCAGUUGAAGAUGCCAGAUGAGCAACAUGGGGAGUCCGAAGACUCUGAUGACGACUCUGAUGAGGAGGAUGAGGAGGAAGGCGAUGAAUAUGAUGAUCUUCCACCAUUUAGGUACAACUCACUUUUAGUGGGCAAUCAUCUAGUGUCAACCUUCAUCUUUUUUUAUUUAAUUUACUAUUUCUUAACCAAAAUUGUGUGUGUGUGUGUGUGGAGGUUUUAUCAGUUCAAAAAGUUGAUUCCUUACUUAUGAGUUGUGUCCUGUUUUAGGCCGCUUUCGAAGCAAGAGCUGGAGGACCUUAGUAAGGAGCAGAGGCAGGAAUAUGCAGAAGAACUUGCUGAUCGUGAAAGGUUAUUUCAAAAGAAGCAAUAUAGAGAGCAAAUCCGAAGAAGAAGAGAACGAAAAAAGCAAGCGUCUGUGAUGAGCAAGGAAGAGCCAUCCAUACCUGGUGAUGGAGCAGAAGAUGAGUCAGGGCAACCUGCUACUGUGGCUGUUCCGAUGCCAGACAUGGCGUUGCCUCCUUCAUUUGACUCUGACAAUCCCACACAUAGGUAACUUCACAGCACCGCACAUGGCUCAAGCUGAUCAUUUUCAAUCGGAAAGUUGGAAAACGAUCCCCUGACUCAAACUUGAUAUCGUUUUGAUCCCUUUGGAGUUACCCGUGUGCAGGUAUCGUUACCUGGAGACUGCGAACCAGUGGCUAGUACGUCCGGUAUUGGAGACCCAUGGGUGGGACCACGAUGCUGGGUACGACGGUUUCAACGUGGAGAAAAUGUUCGUGGUGAAGGAGAAGAUUCCUGCUUCCGUGUCGGGCCAGGUGACGAAAGACAAGAAAGAAGCCCAGGUGAACUUCGAAGCAGCGGCUUCGUUGAGGCACGGAGAGGGGAAGGUGACUCUGACUGGGUUCGACGUUCAGACGAUCGGAAAGGACUUGGCGUACACGGUGCGGGCAGAGACGCGGUUCAACAAUUUCAAGAGGAACAAGACGACGGCGGGGGUGACUGCGACGUACCUGAACGACACGAUCGCGGCGGGAGUGAAGCUGGAGGACAGGGUAUUGAUAGGGAAGAGGGUGAAGUUGGUGGUGAACGGAGGGGUGCUGACAGGAAAGGGCGACAAAGCAUACGGUGGAAGCCUGGAGGCGACGUUGAGAGGGAAGGAGUAUCCUUUGAGUCGGACGCUGUCGACGCUGGGGUUGUCAGUGAUGGACUGGCACGGCGACCUGGCGAUCGGGGGGAACCUGCAGUCGCAGUUCAUGGUGGGGAAGACGAUGAUGGUGGGAAGGGCGAACUUGAACAAUAGGGGGUCGGGUCAAGUGAGCAUACGGGCGAGCAGCUCGGAGCAGCUGCAGAUGGUGUUGAUUGGGAUUGUUCCGAUAUUG